UCUCGUGUCGAGGUUGUGGGAAAGAUGCAAAUAGAGGAAAUCCUGAGGACCUCAGCAGCGGCAUCCCCCGCGGCCUAAGCCUGAGAGUGAACCUGAUGGCUGACGGGAGACGUCGCUAAACGCGGAGCCUCAUAAACUUGAAGUCGUUACAGGAUUGGCUAGAUUGGCGCCGAGGUUUUUCUCGGAGUUUUUCCAAACCGGUUCGCUGACGGCGUCCUACGGGUUUGUGUCACGUAUACAAAGUUUUGAACUCACGACGUACAUGAGUUGCUUUUAGUCGAGGGGCGUGAUCGGGACACGGACGACGGCGGACGGCUGACUGACUGACCAAACAGAAAUUUCGUAAUUUCGGGAGGAAAGCUGGAUAACACUUGGUUAACGCAAAGGUCGAAAUCGUAAAAGAAGCGGAGCGUGUGGCCGAAUCCAGAGUGCAGUAAUCACAGAGCUGGUGGUAGCGAGUGCUAUUUCUCUACACAGGCUGUGACUCGCUGACUCAUUCUUUGUAUCAUAACUUAUCAGAUUCGUGAACAAGUAAAAAGCCAUUCCCCUAUUGUAUGUUUUAGCUCAACCCCCCCCCCCCCCCCAAAAAAAAAAAA